ACCACAGAACUAGUAGAACUUGUGAAUGGUGACUGUUUGCUAUUUAAAAAUAAUAAUAUUACAUAAAUAUAUCAAAUAAAUAGUAAUACUUAUCAGCAAAGUGUUUAUAAAUAAAGUGUGUAACAUUGGAAUAUCAAAACAAUUGUUUUCCUGUAAAACCAUAAAUGUAUUGGACAACAUGAAUCACUUUAAAGAACAACUGAAUUUGGAACAAAAUAUUGGGAAUUUCCCAACUACAAACGAAGAUUCUGCAACUGUUUCAGAAGAGGAUACUGUCAUGAUUGCAAAACAACCUUUAAAGAUAAGAAUGAAACUUAACAAUUAUAAAGUUCAAGAAAUUAUUGAUAGGUUAUCAACAGAAAAUUUUGAAUUUCAACAGAAUUCGGUUGACAUAACUGCUAAAAACUGUCAUACUAGUAAUGAACAAAACCAAUUACCAUCAACCAAUUCUGAUGAAAUUAGCGUUAAUAACUUAUUAAUUUUAACAAAACAGCGUGAACAAUCGUGCUUAUCGAAUGAUUCAGUGAUUUCUAGUUCAAAAAUGUAUGUAGAAAAACAAACUGAUAAUAUUAGUAAUAAUAAUCAUUCCAAAGCAGAUAGUUCAGUUUUGAAUAACACGCGAAAGAAUCAAAGUUCAAGGGAACAAAUGUUUAAUCAUAGUACUGUCCAUAUUGAAAAUAAUACAGAAAAUGACAUUGAACAUUGUUAUAAUUCUGAAAAUGAAAAAUUAUCAGUGAGGGAAUCCUUGUACGCGAUGAAUGACAAAUUUCAAAAAGUAAAAAAAGAUGUUAUGGCUUUUUUGAAUAAGAAAAAUGAACGGUAUUCUGAAAAUAAUUAUGAUCAAAUUAAUAGUAAUGAUGAAAACUGUGAUAACGAAGAAAAUUAUAAACUACCAAUAUUACUUGAUUAUUUGCGUUAUAUAAACCAAAAGUUUCAAAAAUUACGUCCAAAGAUUAUUGAGUUAUAUGUAGAAACCGAAGAACCGAAUCGACUAAAUAAGCUUGAAAAACAAAGAGAUUUAAAAAUAAAAACAAAAAAACGUCUAUUUUCGAUACAAGAGCAAGAUAAUAAACAAGGUCAUGAGAUAAGCAACAAAAAAACUAAACGAAUAUCAGACACAAAGUGGACUUUACGACAUUUAAAUCCAAGCCGCGAGCUCGUUGAGCUCAUACCUAACUCACGUGUUUUUAUCGAUAGAAUGUAUUUGAUGGGCUGUGAAAUAAACUUCAAUAAUCCUAUAAAAUUUGCUCGUGGACUAUUACAAGGUAUUUUUAAUGAUGAAGCAUUACAAAAUUGUACAUUAAGUGGCUCUAAUCGUGGUAAAAAAAGAAGUUCUAACAACAAACAACUUAUGAGAGCAGGGUUGGAUUUGCAUGCUGUAAAUGUAUUAAUAGAAUUUGUCAAACUACAUUGUUUAAAACGUGAUUGGGCGCCAAUUAACAGAAAUGAAUUGUUGAGUAGUUUAAGAAGUAAAUUAAUAGAAAUAAGGAAUAAAAAAACAUCCACGUAUAGACAGAUAUGAUACAACAUUUGGCUGCCUAUGCUAUGAAUGCCUAUUAUAAACAAUUUAUCAAUUCAUAACAACUAAACUACAGUGAACUGCUAUAUUGAAGGUCAAGUGAGUUUUUAUUGAUCAUCAAGUUUGCCUAUAUUUACGUACAUAUACAUAAUAUACUCUCAUUUUUAAAGUAGUGUUUGUAUGUGCACGCUCUCAAUAUCAAAUUGUUUAACGAAUAAAAUGUUGAAAUUUUACGUAAUGAUGUUCUUAAAUUUAAAUUGAGUUCAUUAACAAUGUAUUUUAUCUAAAGAUAUACAGUAUUUUCUUUGAGCAUAUAUAAUGGACAUUGUAUAAAAUAUGACAUCAAAAUAGGAAAGGUAUAUUCCAAGAUAAUAGAAACCGUAUUUAUUUACAUAUGAUUAGAAGUGUAUAUGAGAGAUAAUUUACACUGUCAUUAUUUUUAUCAUAUACAAUUGAGGAAAAAAAAAGUAUUUCACGCUUAAUAUAAUGUCAGAUGAGUACAUUAAAAUUUGUACCUAUGUAUAGCUUGUUAUAUUUGUUUACAUACAAUAUUUUAUAUUAGUACUUAAGAUAAACUGAAUUGUAAUAGAUUAUAAGUAAAUUAAGAUGGAUAAUUGUAUUAUUGAUUAUUAAAUUUUAAA